AACGAACGCUGGCGGCAGGCUUAACACAUGCAAGUCGAACGCCCCGCAAGGGGAGUGGCAGACGGGUGAGUAACACGUGGGAACGUGCCCUAAGGUUCGGAAUAUUCCCGGGAAACGGGGAGUAAUACCGAAUGUGUCCGUAAGGAGAAAGAUUUAUCGCCUUAGGAUCGGCCCGCUUAGGAUACGGGAGUUGGUGAGGUAAUUGCCUACCAAGCCGACGAACUGUAGCUGUUAUGAGAGGAAGAGCAGCCACCACUGGACCUGAGACAUGGCCCAGACUCUUAUGGGAGGCAGCAGUGGGGAAUCUUGGACAUUGGGCGCAAGCCUGAUCCAGCCAUGCCGCGUGAGUGAUGAAGGCCUUAGGGUUGUAAAACUCUUUCAGCGGGGACGAUAAUGACGGUACCCGCAGAAGAAGCCCCGGUUAACUUCGUGCCAGCCGCCGCGGUAACAC
rnacentral:rRNA from 1 species